rnacentral:rRNA from 1 species
ACGGAAGGCAGCAGUGGGGAAUAUUGCACAGUGGGGGAAACCCUGAUGCAGCAACGCCGCGUGAGUGAAGAAGUAUUUCGGUAUGUAAAGCUCUAUCAGCAGGGAAGAUAAUGACGGUACCUGACUAAGAAGCUCCGGCUAAAUACGUGCCAGCAGCCGCGGUAAUACGUAGGGAGCAAGCGUUAUCCGGAUUUAUUGGGUGUAAAGGGUGCGUAGACGGGAAAUUAAGUUAGUUGUGAAAUCCCUCGGCUCAACUGAGGAACUGCAACUAAAACUGGUUUUCUUGAGUGCAGGAGAGGUAAGUGGAAUUCCUAGUGUAGCGGUGAAAUGCGUAGAUAUUAGGAGGAACACCAGUGGCGAAGGCGACUUACUGGACUGUAACUGACGUUGAGGCACGAAAGUGUGGGGAGCAAACAGGAUUAGAUACCCUGGUA